UUCGGGGAAGUUUGUAGCUCUAUGGU
rnacentral:piRNA from 1 species